rnacentral:rRNA from 1 species
UUCCAAUUAUUUUAUACUUCUGGCUAUAGGAAAUUGUUAGUGGCAGACGGGUGAGUAAUGCGUAGGAAUCUACCUAGUAGUACGGAAUAGCCAUUAGAAAUGGUGGGUAAUACUGUAUAAUCCCCGAGGGGGAAAGAUUUAUCGCUAUUAGAUGAGCCUACGUUAGAUUAGCUAGUUGGUGAGGUAAUGGCUUACCAAGGCUAUGAUCUAUAGCUGGUCUGAGAGGACGAUCAGCCACACUGGAACUGAGAUACGGUCCAGACUCCUACGGGAGGCAGCAGUGGGGAAUAUUGGACAAUGGGCGAAAGCACCUGAUGCGCCACGACAUCAUGACCACCACGACACCCACGACAACACUAUCCAUAGCCUCGGGCUCGACAGUCAGA